CACGUAGUUAGCCGGUGCUUUUUCUGCAGGUACCGUCACUUUCGCUUCUUCCCUACUAAAAGAGGUUUACAACCCGAAGGCCGUCGUCCCUCACGCGGCGUUGCUGCAUCAGGCUUGCGCCCAUUGUGCAAUAUUCCCCACUGCUGCCUCCCGUAGGAGUCUGGGCCGUGUCUCAGUCCCAGUGUGGCCGGUCACCCUCUCAGGCCGGCUACCCGUCGUCGCCUUGGUGAGCCAUUACCUCACCAACAAGCUGAUAGGCCGCGAGUCCAUCCUUGACCGAAAUUCUUUCCACCCCCAGGAGAUGCCUCCGAAGGUCGUAUCCGGUAUUAGACGUCGUUUCCAACGCUUAUCCCAGAGUCAAGGGCAGGUUACUCACGUGUUACUCACCCGUUCGCCACUGAUCCACAGAGCAAGCUCUGCUUCACCGUUCGACUUGCAUGUGUUAAGCACGCCGCCAGCGUUCGUCCUGAGCCAGGAUCAAACUCU
rnacentral:rRNA from 1 species